rnacentral:rRNA from 1 species
UUAACUGAACCUUCGGGGAACGUUAAGGGCGUCGAGCGGCGGACGGGUGAGUAAUGCCUAGGAAAUUGCCCUGAUGUGGGGGAUAACCAUUGGAAACGAUGGCUAAUACCGCAUGAUGCCUACGGGCCAAAGAGGGGGACCUUCGGGCCUCUCGCGUCAGGAUAUGCCUAGGUGGGAUUAGCUAGUUGGUGAGGUAAUGGCUCACCAAGGCGACGAUCCCUAGCUGGUCUGAGAGGAUGAUCAGCCACACUGGAACUGAGACACGGUCCAGACUCCUACGGGAGGCAGCAGUGGGGAAUAUUGCACAAUGGGCGCAAGCCUGAUGCAGCCAUGCCGCGUGUGUGAAGAAGGCCUUCGGGUUGUAAAGCACUUUCAGUCGUGAGGAAGGUGGUGUAGUUAAUAGCUGCAUUACUUGACGUUAGCGACAGAAGAAGCACCGGCUAACUCCGUGCCAGCAGCCGCGGUAAUACGGAGGGUGCGAGCGUUAAUCGGAAUUACUGGGCGUAAAGCGCAUGCAGGUGGUUUGUUAAGUCAGAUGUGAAAGCCCGGGGCUCAACCUCGGAAUAGCAUUUGAAACUGGCAGACUAGAGUACUGUAGAGGGGGGUAGAAUUUCAGGUGUAGCGGUGAAAUGCGUAGAGAUCUGAAGGAAUACCGGUGGCGAAGGCGGCCCCCUGGACAGAUACUGACACUCAGAUGCGAAAGCGUGGGGAGCAAACAGGAUUAGAUACCCUGGUAGUCCACGCCGUAAACGAUGUCUACUUGGAGGUUGUGGCCUUGAGCCGUGGCUUUCGGAGCUAACGCGUUAAGUAGACCGCCUGGGGAGUACGGUCGCAAGAUUAAAACUCAAAUGAAUUGACGGGGGCCCGCACAAGCGGUGGAGCAUGUGGUUUAAUUCGAUGCAACGCGAAGAACCUUACCUACUCUUGACAUCCAGAGAACUUUCCAGAGAUGGAUUGGUGCCUUCGGGAACUCUGAGACAGGUGCUGCAUGGCUGUCGUCAGCUCGUGUUGUGAAAUGUUGGGUUAAGUCCCGCAACGAGCGCAACCCUUAUCCUUGUUUGCCAGCGAGUAAUGUCGGGA